rnacentral:SRP_RNA from 1 species
GAGGUCAAUGCCGAGUAAACCGGCGUUUGUACUGUG